rnacentral:tRNA from 1 species
GGCGACGUGGCGGAGUGGUUACGCAGCGGAUUGCAAAUCCGUCCACCCCGGUUCGAUUCCGGGCGUCGCCU